GGCCCAUUAGCUCAGUUGGUUAGAGCGUUGUGCUAAUAACGCGAAUGUGCAGGUUCGAGACCUGCAUGUGCCA